rnacentral:rRNA from 1 species
UACAGAGGGGGCAAGCGUUGUUCGGAAUUACUGGGCGUAAAGGGCGCGUAGGCGGCCUUCUAAGUCGAACGUGAAAUCCCCGGGCUCAACCCGGGAACUGCGUCCGAUACUGGAAGGCUUGAAUCCGGGAGAGGGAUGCGGAAUUCCAGGUGUAGCGGUGAAAUGCGUAGAUAUCUGGAGGAACACCGGUGGCGAAGGCGGCAUCCUGGACCGGUAUUGACGCUGAGGCGCGGAAAGCCAGGGGAGCAAACGGGG